CCCGUUGGCGAGCUGAUCAGCCAUGCCGCGUGUGUGAAGAAGGUCUUCGGAUUGUAAAGCACUUUAAGUUGGGAGGAAGGGCAGUUACCUAAUACGUGAUUGUUUUGACGUUACCGACAGAAUAAGCACCGGCUAACUCUGUGCCAGCAGCCGCGGUAAUACAGAGGGUGCAAGCGUUAAUCGGAAUUACUGGGCGUAAAGCGCGCGUAGGUGGUUUGUUAAGUUGGAUGUGAAAGCCCCGGGCUCAACCUGGGAACUGCAUCCAAAACUGGCAAGCUAGAGUAUGGUAGAGGGUGGUGGAAUUUCCUGUGUAGCGGUGAAAUGCGUAGAUAUAGGAAGGAACACCAGUGGCGAAGGCGACCACCUGGACUGAUACUGACACUGAGGUGCGAAAGCGUGGGGAGCAAACAGGAUUAGAACCCGGGGGGG
rnacentral:rRNA from 1 species